rnacentral:rRNA from 1 species
UACGUAGGGGGCAAGCGUUGUCCGGAUUUAUUGGGCGUAAAGCGCGUGUAGGCGGCCAUGCAGGUCCGUUGUGAAAACUCGAGGCUCAACCUCGAGACGUCGAUGGAAACCGCAUGGCUAGAGUCCGGAAGAGGAGAGCGGAAUUCCUGGUGUAGCGGUGAAAUGCGCAGAUAUCAGGAAGAACACCCGUGGCGAAGGCGGCUCUCUGGGACGGUACUGACGCUAAGGCGCGAGAGCGUGGGGAGCGAACAGG